AUUGAACGCUGGCGGCAUGCCUUACACAUGCAAGUCGAACGGCAGCACGGGGCAACCUGGUGGCGAGUGGCGAACGGGUGAGUAAUGCAUCGGAACGUACCUUUCAGGGGGGGAUAACGUAGCGAAAGUUACGCUAAUACCGCAUAUUCUGUGAGCAGGAAAGCAGGGGAUCGCAAGACCUUGCGCUGAUUGAGCGGCCGAUGUCAGAUUAGCUAGUUGGUGAGGUAAAGGCUCACCAAGGCGACGAUCUGUAGCGGGUCUGAGAGGAUGAUCGGCCACACUGGAACUGAGACGCGGUCCAGACUCCUACGGGAGGCAGCAGUGGGGAAUUUUGGACAAUGGGGGCAACCCUGAUCCAGCCAUGCCGCGUGAGUGAAGAAGGCCUUCGGGUUGUAAAGCUCUUUCGGCCGGGAAGAAAUCGCACGGGCUAAUACCCUGUGUGGAUGACGGUACCGGAAUAAGAAGCACCGGCUAACUACGUGCCAGCAGCCGCGGUAAGAC
rnacentral:rRNA from 1 species